rnacentral:rRNA from 1 species
ACGCUGGCGGCGUGCUUAACACAUGCAAGUCGAACGAUGAAGCCUAGCUUGCUAGGUGGAUUAGUGGCGAACGGGUGAGUAAUACGUGAGUAACCUACCUUUAACUCUGGGAUAAGCCUGGGAAACUGGGUCUAAUACCGGAUACGACCAAUCUCCGCAUGGGGUGUUGGUGGAAAGCGUUAUGUAGUGGUUAUAGAUGGGCUCACGGCCUAUCAGCUUGUUGGUGAGGUAACGGCUCACCAAGGCGACGACGGGUAGCCGGCCUGAGAGGGUGACCGGCCACACUGGGACUGAGACACGGCCCAGACUCCUACGGGAGGCAGCAGUGGGGAAUAUUGCACAAUGGGCGCAAGCCUGAUGCAGCGACGCCGCAUGAGGGAUGACGGCCUUCGGGUUGUAAACCUCUGUUAGCAGGGAAGAAGAGAAAUUGACGGUACCUGCAGAGAAAGCGCCGGCUAACUACGUGCCAGCAGCCGCGGUAAUACGUAGGGCGCGAGCGUUGUCCGGAAUUAUUGGGCGUAAAGAGCUUGUAGGCGGUUUGUCGCGUCUGCUGUGAAAGGCCGGGGCUUAACCCCGUGUAUUGCAGUGGGUACGGGCAGACUAGAGUGCAGUAAGGGAGACUGGAACUCCUGGUGUAGCGGUGGAAUGCGCAGAUAUCAGGAAGAACACCGAUGGCGAAGGCAGGUCUCUGGGCUGUAACUGACGCUGAGAAGCGAAAGCAUGGGGAGCGAACAGGAUUAGAUACCCUGGUAGUCCAUGCCGUAAACGUUGGGCACUAGGUGUGGGGGACAUUCCACGUUUUCCGCGCCGUAGCUAACGCAUUAAGUGCCCCGCCUGGGGAGUACGGCCGCAAGGCUAAAACUCAAAGAAAUUGACGGGGGCCCGCACAAGCGGCGGAGCAUGCGGAUUAAUUCGAUGCAACGCG